rnacentral:rRNA from 1 species
GUUUCAGCAGCCGCGGUAAGACGAAGGUGGCGAGCGUUGUUCGGAAUCACUGGGCAUAAAGCGCACGUAGGCGGCGGCGUAAGUCGGGUGUGAAAUCCCUCGGCCCAACCGAGGAACUGCGCCCGAUACUGCGUUGCUUGAGGAUCAGAGGGGUGCACGGAAUUUCCGGUGGAGCGGUGAAAUGCGUUGAUAUCGGAAGGAACGUCGGCGGCGAAAGCGGUGCACUGGCUGAUUUCUGACGCUGAGGUGCGAAAGCCAGGGGAGCAAACGGGAUUAGAAACCCGAGUAGUCC